CUGACCUCGACUUCUGUCUCUCGCAUUCACACUCACAAACGCUAGCAAACAUAGAUCAUACACACUUGAGGGUUGAGACUCCACUUACAAUUUACAAAACCCAAUCACAAACAUCUGUGGGUUUUGCCCAUUUAUGGUGCGCUGAUGGGCCGCUCGUUCCAUCGGGAAAUGGUCAAUCCUUGAUCUUCUUGAAUCACUGUUCAAGUUCUCAACUUUCUUGAUCUGGUCUCUUUUGCAGUUGUUUCAAAGACCACAUUUUGUUCAAAAAUUUACUUCCUUAGCUUCUUUAAUUAAUCUUAUAUUGAAAAUUUCUUCUGGGCCUUGGAGGUUUGUUGGGAUUCUAUUCGUCACAUGUUUAACAUAUUAACUGCAAUGAGUCCUCAAAUGGCUCUCUCUUGGUGAGUUCAAUUCAUUUUUCCCCGCCCAAUUGAUCUGUGUUUUGUACUGCUUUUGGGUUCUGUAAAGUGGAAGAUUUCAAUAUCUGAAAUUGUAUGGCUAUAUGUAGUUUUGUUAAUCUACAGAUCUAAUUUUUUAUUUGAUUUGUUUAAUUAGUUGUUAGAUGGUUAUGACUAGUAAGCAUUCUUCUGCCUGUUUUAUAAUUGGUUCUGAAAAAGUUGAGCUUGCCUUUAGUUUCUUCAUUUUUGAUUUUACAUCUCUCUCUCUUCUCAGUGUAUGUGAGUUCCCCGGGAUCCUCGUGAGCUUGUGUUUCUCUGUGUAUAGUGAAUUGUAUAUAACAGUUAAACACUCUUGGUAUGUUUGGCAAGUUGGAUUGAACUGCAUUAGAGAGAACAAAAGGUUAAAUUGUGAUUAAAGGGUUCUGCAAUUUAUAAUGCUAUGCACCAAACAUCCCUUCCAAGUUUAUAAAUGGAAUUUAUUCAAAGAAUUCUAAUUAGAAUAGAGUGAGAGCACUGCUCCUUGAUCGGAUAUUUAUAGUGUUUUUUUUAUCCUUUUUUGUUUUGUGGAAGAGGCAAAAAUAGUUGGAAGUGCUCUCGACUAAAGCGGUUUUAGUUGCUUGUUUGUGCUAAAUGAGGAUGCCUUGACAUAAAUUCUCAAGUGCAACUUUUUAGCGUACUUAAAGCUGAUUUUAUGUAAAUAUUAACCACCAUUUUAUCGAUUUAAGCAGCCAUUAUUUCAUCAUGUAUCAUAUUACAAAUUGCGUUGGGGGAAAUGAUUGGUAUAUUGGACUCGUGUGCCUUUGAUUGACAAGUUGAACUGAACAAGAGUUUUAGUUUGAAAGAAUAAUCACAAAUUGCAACCUUCCUACUUGAAAAUUAUAUGGUGUUUAAAAUUCUCUUGGUUUCUGUCCCAGAAAAUUUCUUUCUAGUUAUCUAUUUACUAAAUUUUGAUUAGUGUUUCUUACCAUUAUUCAAUUUUCAUUGUUAGAAUUUUUCUCCACAAGAUGUUAAUAUUUGAAGUGUCAUUUUGUAAGUUAAGUUUAUCAAUAUGAUGAUAUUUGCUCCUCAGUUUCACAUUGUUUAUAUGUUACACACGAUCACAAGAUUUAUAUUUAAUGUUGCGGUUGUGUAAAUUGUUGUUUCAUAUUGAUUCACUGUACUAAGGCUGCAAUUGCUUAGGUAUAUGAAGUUCCUGGCCUUACUUUACCUUGUAAUGUGUUUGUUCUGAUUCCAUGAAAUAUUUUACUUGUAUUUUAGUCUUCUAUAAAUUUUUAUCAACCCAAGCUACAUUUGAUUAGUGGCUAUUUUGUUUGCCAGAAAUAAAAAUUACUUGGGUGAUAUCUGUGGAGUUGAAGAUUAUGGGUAGGAUUAAAGCAAAGGGAAAGAAGCUGGAUGUCAUGAACCAAGAUGAUCCAGGAAGUGCUGAGGAAGAAAAAACACGUGCACAGAAGAGAAGGGGUAGGCCUCAGAAAUGACUUAAUGAUGACAUAGACGAAGAAGAGGCUGAGAAAAUAGAAAAUGGAGAGAGUGAGGACACAACAGAUGGUGUAUUGGGC
rnacentral:lncRNA from 1 species